UACGGGGGGGGCAAGCGUUGUUCGGAAUUACUGGGCGUAAAGGGCUCGUAGGCGGCCAACUAAGUCAGACGUGAAAUCCCUCGGCUUAACCGGGGAACUGCGUCUGAUACUGGAUGGCUUGAGUUCGGGAGAGGGAUGCGGAAUUCCAGGUGUAGCGGUGAAAUGCGUAGAUAUCUGGAGGAACACCGAUGGCGAAGGCAGCUCGCUGGGACGGUACUGACGCUGAGGCGCGAAAGCGUGGGGAGCGAACAGG
rnacentral:rRNA from 1 species